rnacentral:rRNA from 1 species
GAUGAACGCUGGCGGCGUGCCUAAUACAUGCAAGUCGAGCGAACGGACGAGAAGCUUGCUUUUCUGACGUUAGCGGCGGACGGGUGAGUAACACGUGGAUAACCUACCUAUAAGACUGGGAUAACUUCGGGAAACCGGAGCUAAUACCGGAUAAUAUUUUGAACCGCAUGGUUCAAAAGUGAAAGGCGGUCUUGCUGUCACUUAUAGAUGGAUCCGCGCUGCAUUAGCUAGUUGGUAAGGUAACGGCUUACCAAGGCAACGAUGCAUAGCCGACCUGAGAGGGUGAUCGGCCACACUGGAACUGAGACACGGUCCAGACUCCUACGGGAGGCAGCAGUAGGGAAUCUUCCGCAAUGGGCGAAAGCCUGACGGAGCAACGCCGCGUGAGUGAUGAAGGUCUUCGGAUCGUAAAACUCUGUUAUUAGGGAAGAACAUAUGUGUAAGUAACUGUGCACAUCUUGACGGUACCUAAUCAGAAAGCCACGGCUAACUACGUG